AGGAUAAACGCUGGCGGCGUGCCUAACACAUGCAAGUCGAACGUCUCUUCUUUCGGGAAGAGGAGUGGCGGACGGGUGAGGAACACGUGGGAACCUGCCCUUCAGUGAGGAAUACCGGCGAGAAAUCGCCGACAAGACCGCAUAGCCCUCUCUGGUGAGAGCCAGAGAAGGAAAGCCUCGCAAGAGGCGCUGGAGGAGGGGCCUGCGUCCGAUUAGCUAGUUGGUGGGGUAAGAGCCUACCAAGGCGUCGAUCGGUAGCUGGUCUGAGAGGACGAUCAGCCACACUGGGAUUGAGAACGGCCCAGACUCCUACGGGGGCAGCAGUGAGGAAUUUUCGGCAAUGGGGGAAACCCUGACCGAGCAACGCCGCGUGCAGGAAGACGGCCUUCGGGUUGUAAACUGCUUUCUCGGGAAGAGAACGGACGGUACCCGAGGAAUCAGCCCCGGCUAACUACGUGCCAGCAGCCGC
rnacentral:rRNA from 1 species